rnacentral:rRNA from 1 species
AGUGAACGCUGGCGGUAGGCCUAACACAUGCAAGUCGAACGGCAGCACAGUAAGAGCUUGCUCUUACGGGUGGCGAGUGGCGGACGGGUGAGGAAUACAUCGGAAUCUACUUUUUCGUGGGGGAUAACGUAGGGAAACUUACGCUAAUACCGCAUACGACCUACGGGUGAAAGCAGGGGAUCUUCGGACCUUGCGCGAUUGAAUGAGCCGAUGUCGGAUUAGCUAGUUGGCGGGGUAAAGGCCCACCAAGGCGACGAUCCGUAGCUGGUCUGAGAGGAUGAUCAGCCACACUUGAACUGGGAAACCGUCCCGACUCCUAAGGGAGGGCGCAGGUGGGGAAUAUUGGACAAUGGGCGCAAGCCUGAUCCAGCCAUACCGCGUGGGUGAAGAAGGCCUUCGGGUUGUAAAGCCCUUUUGUUGGGAAAGAAAAGCAGCAGGUUAAUACCCCGCUGUUCUGACGGUACCCAAAGAAUAAGCACCGGCGAACUUCGU